AACCAUAGAAACCUGCGGAGUACCUGCGGAAGGAUCAUUACCGAGUUUACAACUCCCAAACCCAUGUGAACAUACCUAUCGUUGCUUCGGCGGAUCGCCCCGGGCGCCUUGCGUGCCCCGGAUCCAGGCGGCCGCCGGGGGACCUUAACUCUUGUUUUUAUUGAGAAUCUUCUGAGUCGUUUUUACAAAUAAAUAAAAACUUUCAACAACGGAUCU
rnacentral:misc_RNA from 1 species